AGUGAACGCUGGCGGUAGGCCUAACACAUGCAAGUCGAACGGCAGCACAGUAAGAGCUUGCUCUUACGGGUGGCGAGUGGCGGACGGGUGAGGAAUACAUCGGAAUCUACUUUUUCGCGGGGGAUAACGUAGGGAAACUUACGCUAAUACCGCAAACGACCUACGGGUGAAAGCAGGGGAUCUUCGGACCUUGCGCGAUUGAAUGAGCGGAUGUCGGAUUAGCUAGUUGGCGGGGUAAAGGCCCACCAAGGCGACGAUCCGUAGCUGGUCUGAGAGGAUGAUCAGCCACACUGGAACUGAGACACGGUCCAGACUCCUACGGGAGGCAGCAGUGGGGAAUAUUGGACAAUGGGCGCAAGCCUGAUCCAGCCAUACCGCGUGGGUGAAGAAGGCCUUCGGGUUGUAAAGCCCUUUUGUUGGGAAAGAAAAGCAGCAGGUUAAUACCCCGCUGUUCUGACGGUACCCAAAGAAUAAGCACCGGCUAACUUCGUG
rnacentral:rRNA from 1 species